rnacentral:rRNA from 1 species
CCUCUGGUCGAUAGAAUAAUGUAGGUAAGGGAAGUCGGCAAAUUGGUUCCGUAACUUCGGGAAAAGGAAUGGCUCUAAAGGCCGGGGUGUUUGGGCUUAGUGCAGGAAGCAGUCGGUUUAUCGGUGGGCCUGGCGAAACCUUCGCGGUGAAGUCGGUCCCAUUCUCAAGCUACUGUGGAGUGCCUUUGCUUCGCAGUCCCGGGCAACCGGGUAACUGUUCAAGCAUCAAUUAACGGCUAAUUUAGAACUGGCACGGACAAGGGGAAUCCGACUGUUUAAUUAAAACAAAGCAUUGCGAUGGUCAGAGAGUGAUGUUGACGCAAUGUGAUUUCUGCCCAGUGCUCUGAAUGUCAAAGUGAAGAGGUUCGUCCAAGCGCGGGUAAACGGCGGGAGUAACUAUGACUCUCUUAAGGUAGCCAAAUGCCUCGUCAGAUAACUACUGACGCGCAUGAAUGGAUUAACGAGAUUCCCACUGUCCCUAUCUACUAUCUAGCGAAACCGCAGCCAAGGGAACGGACUUGGGAGAAUCAGCGGGGAAAGAAGACCCUGUUGAGCUUGACUCUAGUCUCCUAUUGUGGCGAAGCAUUUUUGGCGUAGAAUAGGGAGGAGCGCAAGCAUCAGUGAAAUACUCCUACAAAAAUCGCUUCUCUGCUUACUCGGUUAAGCGAAGUUAGAGCUUUCGGGCUCUAUUUCUCGAAUCAAAUGGUAAAUCUCCGAUUUGUCAUGAUUCGCUCCGAGGACAUUGCGAGGCGGGGAGUUUGACUGGGGCGGUACAUCUGUCAAAUGAUAACGCAGGUGUCCUAAGGCCAGCUCAGUGAGGACAGAAACCUCACGUGGAGUAAAAGGGCAAAAGCUGGCUUGACUUUUCCCUUCAGUACGGGGCAAAGAGAAGAAAUUUCGGCCUAUCGAUCCUCUUUAUUUCGGAGUUUGAAGAAAGAGGUGCCAGAAAAGUUACCACAGGGAUAACUGGCUUGUGGCUGCCAAGCGUUCAUAGCGACGUAGCUUUUUGAUCCUUCGAUGUCGGCUCUUCCUAUCAUUCAGAAGCAGAAUUCUGAUAGUGUCGGAUUGUUCACCCGCCAAUAGGGAACGUGAGCUGGGUUUAGACC